rnacentral:rRNA from 1 species
UGGGGAAUAUUGCACAAUGGGCGCAAGCCUGAUGCAGCCAUGCCGCGUGUAUGAAGAAGGCCUUCGGGUUGUAAAGUACUUUCAGUCGGGAGGAAGGUGGUAAGGUUAAUAACCUUAUCAAUUGACGUUACCGACAGAAGAAGCACCGGCUAACUCCGUGCCAGCAGCCGCGGUAAUACGGAGGGUGCAAGCGUUAAUCGGAAUUACUGGGCGUAAAGCGCACGCAGGCGGUUGAUUGAGUCAGAUGUGAAAUCCCCGGGCUUAACCCGGGAAUUGCAUCUGAUACUGGUCAGCUAGAGUCUUGUAGAGGGGGGUAGAAUUCCAUGUGUAGCGGUGAAAUGCGUAGAGAUGUGGAGGAAUACCGGUGGCGAAGGCGGCCCCCUGGACAAAGACUGACGCUCGGGUGCGAAAGCGUGGGGAGCAAACAGG